AAAUUCAUCUGAAUAUUGUCCUAGAAGUGCUCAACACCUUUCAUUUCCAUCUGGUCAGCACGAUUUAUCGUCAUCAGCACCUCAAUUCACACCUCCUCCCUGCAAGCAUCAAACAAUACAUAUCAUAUUCAAGUGAAUUCGCAGCAGUGAAUAGCUUUUUACCGGCGGUAAAAAUUCACAAGCAACAAAAGGGAAUCAAAAUAUUUCCAGGAAGAGGUACAAGGUACAAGUUACCUUUUUCAGAGCAAGCACCAAAAUGGGGUAGACACUAGAGCAGCACAAGAAAGCACUUCCAAUUCCAAUACUCUUUUGAUCUUAGUGACCAAUUCCAAACCCUAGCAAGUGAAUAUAAAAGCAAGAACACUCUCUUCAUGGAGAGGCGGCUACCAUUCAAAAAGAAAAAGAAAAGAGAGGAGAAAGACACAUUUUCGAAAUCUCUCUCUUCUACACAAAACACGCACACAGAACCUUACCCGGUUCUUCAUCCAUCAUCACCCAUUCCAAACUUCAUCUUUCCCAACAACCAUCACACCAUUCAGCACAUAUUCAUGAACGGUUGAGGAAAUAAGGUUGCAAAGCUUCGAAGACAGCAAGAUCAACAACAAGACAACUGUUUGUUUGAAGUUUGUUUUCGCAUUUCGGUAACGGUUUCGAUUCAGAUCCGUGUUGAUUUUUUUUCGUCUAUUUUUAUUUGUCAUUUCCAUUCAUGUGGGAUUUUGUUUGAAUGUUUACCUGCAUAUGUUCUUUCUAAAAAAGAUGGGAACGAUGAACAGUAUAUUUUAAAAAAAAGCUCCCUACUGUUCUGGUGUAUGUUUAUUUAUUUUAUUUUUGCUUGCAUUUACGCGAUUCCAAUGGCUUUUGUUACUUUCCCAUGCUAACUAUGUCAUCAGUAGACCGG
rnacentral:lncRNA from 1 species